ACAGCAGUCGCCGCGGUAAUACAGAGGGUGCGAGCGUUAAACGGAUUUACUGGGCGUAAAGCGUGCGUAGGCGGCUUUUUAAGUCGGAUGUGAAAUCCCCGAGCUUAACUUGGGAAUUGCAUUCGAUACUGGGAAGCUAGAGUAUGGGAGAGGAUGGUAGAAUUCCAGGUGUAGCGGUGAAAUGCGUAGAGAUCUGGAGGAAUACCGAUGGCGAAGGCAGCCAUCUGGCCUAAUACUGACGCUGAGGUACGAAAGCAUGGGGAGCAAACAGGAUUAGAUACCCCUGUAGUCCCUGUCUCUUAUAC
rnacentral:rRNA from 1 species